GUUGUCCCCAUGUUGUCCCCAUGUUGUACCCAUGUUGUACCCUGCAUUCUGGCCUGGCAAAGGUCUUUUACGAGGCAUCUUUGCUACCUUAAAGAAUUAAAAUGUUUUUUAAUAACUCUACUCUCAUUUACAAAAUCAUGCCGAAUUCUAUUGCAUAAAUGUCCUGUCUUUAUGUUAAAUUCUUUAUAAUACAUCGUACUUGUUCAAAGUGCUGUUUGGAAUUUUUUUGAGAGGGUCCUUUUCCUAGGCCUGCAAAUAAAGUGAUAUGCUCUUUGGGCAGCCUUAACAAACAAUGCUCUGAUGUGUUGAGCAUGCAGGAUACCAAGAGGUUAACACGGUGCUCUCCUGCUGCUCCUUAUGACAGCUGAGUUUACAUCACCACACAAAAUCACACGCACAAACACAACACAUUAUCAAGAUUUAAAGUUUAAGAGAGUGAGAACUUAAUUGAACCACAUGUCAUUAACAGGGCUCUUACGUUUUGAAGACAGGCAAGAGUGACAUAUCUAUCCAGGAUGCUUUAUUUUCAUUGGUUGCUGGAUUAAAUCUUACCCAGAUACAACAGAUAAGUUUUUUUCUGAUUGGCUAUUGUGUCUCCCAUUUCUUUUUUUUGAUUGGCGGAUAAGUGGCUCCUCACAGCAGAACUCCAGGGGAGCGCUUGAUUCCACCACGAGACGUUUCCUGGAGGUGCUGGUCCUCUGCUGCCCUCCCGACAUCUGGCUCCAAUGACCUCUGGCACCUCACAUCCACCUCCAGGGCCUUUAAGAAGAUGGACCGCCAUCGCGUCUUCAGUAUCCCGAAGGACCUCUCCACAACACACCUGGCCUUUGACAGGCAGCAGUUGUAGCUUGGAGGUGGACAGGCUGCCUGAAGGGGUCAUGAGGCAGAUGGGUUGGGACAGGCAGGGGGAGCCACCAUCCCCAAGGAUACAGUAUCCUGGUGGAGGGUAUGACUGCUCAUAGAAGAUGGGGCUGUUAUUCAGGACCCUGGCAUCAUGCUCUGAGUCUGGGUAGCCCACACACACAUCUAUGAAUUUGCACUUAUCAUCACAGAUGGCCUGCAGCUGGAUGGAAUGAAAAAGCUUCCUGUUAAAAUAGCAGGCAGCAUCCUCCGCUGGGGGCUUCACUCUGACGUGGCAGCCAUCAAUAGCCACCACCACUCUGCUGAAGCCUGCCGACCCAGCUAGACGGGCGAAGCGGGCAGGGGAAGGGAAGAUUAUAUUAAUAUGUAAGUCAUUUUAUCAAUAAAAUGUUGUCAUUGA